AAGGUGAUACAAGCUCAGUGAUACAGUUUUAGCUAAACUCCGAAAAUUUCUUUAAUGUACGUUCCAUCUUCCCAUAAGCACGGCGACCCCACAAGGAGAAAUUCAUUAUCCUUGUUCUAGAAGAGGCUUUCAUCAUUUUUUUUGCCACUACCUUUAAAAUCAGCACUUAGCUAUUCACCCCAAAUCUACCGAUUCCCACCCAUCCUUCACAUGGAUGCUGCAUUUAUGAACAAGUCUGGUCCAGCUACUUCCACAUUUCAACAGGACAAAUUCUAAACCAUCAGAGUAAUUUUCCAAUCAGAACAAAUACUAACAAGGAAGUGACACACAGCAGUCCGUCCUCUGCUUCCUAACAGGACUCUAUGAGAACAUGGUGAUGUCCUACCACAAAGAAAGCAACACCUGAUUAUCAAUAACUUCUCUGGUCCGGCCAAGGAUGAGCAAGGAACAAAGAGCUUUUAGAACAUUAAGCAUACAUCUAAAUUUAUUUGACCUGAGGAUCCAGCCUGGCCUCUCAAGAGCAGACGCUCACAUGAUAAAACGUGCUGGGAACUCACCAUGUACUCAGCAAAGGGAAGCAAAGGGGUAUUAAUCAAUGUUUUGAUUAAUUACACGUACAUAGAAUUUAAGACAAAGUAAAGGCUCUUCCAUCCCCGCAAGUCCCCAGAGAAAAUUUAUAACAGCAAAGUAUCAUCAUUACUAAAUUAGAGCGUGACCAGAGGGGGAAAAAAAGUUGGCUGAAUGGACCAGCAGGUGAGAUGAAGAGUUGAUUGUCUUCAAACGUAAAAUAUCUCAAGCAAGAAAAGAAGAAAAAAGUCUCUUCAAUAAAUGUUGGCAAUAUUUUCGAGAUUUUUUUCUU